rnacentral:rRNA from 1 species
ACGAACGCUGGCGGCGUGCUUAACACAUGCAAGUCGAACGGAAAGGCCCCUUUGGGGGUCCUCGAGUGGCGAACGGGUGAGUAACACGUGAGUAACCUGCCCUUGACUUCGGGAUAACUUCAGGAAACUGGGGCUAAUACCGGAUAGGAAUCCUUGCUGCAUGGUGGGGGUUGGAAAGCUUCGGCGGUUUUGGAUGGACUCGCGGCUUAUCAGCUUGUUGGUGGGGUAGUGGCUUACCAAGGCUUUGACGGGUAGCCGGCCUGAGAGGGCGACCGGCCACAUUGGGACUGAGAUACGGCCCAGACUCCUACGGGAGGCAGCAGUGGGGAAUAUUGCACAAUGGGCGGAAGCCUGAUGCAGCAACGCCGCGUGCGGGAUGACGGCCUUCGGGUUGUAAACCGCGUUCAGCAGGGGCGAAGCUUGUGGUGACGGUACCUGCAGAAGAAGCACCGGCUAACUACGUG